GGAGAGAUGGCUGAGUGGUUGAAGGCGACCGCCUCGAAAGCGGUUAUUCUGGGAAACCGGAAUCGUGGGUUCAAAUCCCACUCUCUCCA
rfam:Candidate division TM6 bacterium GW2011_GWF2_37_49 TS49_C0006, whole genome shotgun sequence.